UCAACUUGAGAGUUUGAUCCUGGCUCAGAACGAACGCUGGCGGCAGGCCUUAUACAUGCAAGUCGAGCGCAUCCUUCGGGAUGAGCGGCGGACGGGUGAGUAACGCGUGGGAAUGUGCCCUUCUCUACGGAAUAGCCACUGGAAACGGUGAGUAAUACCGUAUACGCCCUCAGGGGGAAAGAUUUAUCGGAGAAGGAUCAGCCCGCGUUAGAUUAGGUAGUUGGUGGGGUAACGGCCUACCAAGCCUACGAUCUAUAGCUGGUUUUAGAGGAUGAUCAGCCACACUGGGACUGAGACACGGCCCAGACUCCUACGGGAGGCAGCAGUAGGGAAUCUUGGACAAUGGGGGCAACCCUGAUCCAGCCAUGCCGCGUGAGUGAAGAAGGCCCUAGGGUCGUAAAGCUCUUUCGCCUGUGAUGAUAAUGACAGUAGCAGGUAAAGAAACCCCGGCUAACUCCGUGCCAGCAGCCGCGGUAAUACGGAGGGGGUUAGCGUUGUUCGGAAUUACUGGG
rnacentral:rRNA from 1 species